GAUGAACGCUGGCGGCGUGCCUAAUACAUGCAAGUCGAGCGAACGGACGAGAAGCUUGCUUCUCUGAUGUUAGCGGCGGAUGGGUGAGUAACACGUGGAUAACCUACCUAUAAGACUGGGAUAACUUCGGGAAACCGGAGCUAAUACCGGAUGAUAUUUUGAACCGCAUGGUUCAAAAGUGAAAGACGGUCUUGCUGUCACUUAUAGAUGGAUCCGCGCUGCAUUAGCUAGUUGGUAAGGUAACGGCUUACCAAGGCAACGAUGCAUAGCCGACCUGAGAGGGUGAUCGGCCACACUGGAACUGAGACACGGUCCAGACUCCUACGGGAGGCAGCAGUAGGGAAUCUUCCGCAAUGGGCGAAAGCCUGACGGAGCAACGCCGCGUGAGUGAUGAAGGUCUUCGGAUCGUAAAACUCUGUUAUUAGGGAAGAACAUAUGUGUAAGUAACUGUGCACAUCUUGACGGUACCUAAUCAGAAAGCCACGGCUAACUACGUG
rnacentral:rRNA from 1 species